UACGUAGGGUGCAAGCGUUAAUCGGAAUUACUGGGCGUAAAGCGUGCGCAGGCGGUUGUGUAAGACAGAUGUGAAAUCCCCGGGCUCAACCUGGGAACUGCAUUUGUGACUGCACAGCUGGAGUGCGGCAGAGGGGGAUGGAAUUCCGCGUGUAGCAGUGAAAUGCGUAGAUAUGCGGAGGAAUACCGAUGGCGAAGGCAGCCCCCUGGGCCAAUACUGACGCUCAUGCACGAAAGCGUGGGGAGCAAACAGG
rnacentral:rRNA from 1 species